UACAGAGGGUGCAAACGUUGCUCGGAAUCAUUGGGCGUAAAGCGCACGUAGGCGGCCCAGCAAGUGGGGAGUGAAAGCCCUCGGCUUAACCGAGGAAGUGCUUUCCAAACUACUGGGCUUGAAUACUGGAGAGGGUCGCGGAAUUCCCGGUGUAGAGGUGAAAUUCGUAGAUAUCGGGAGGAACACCAGUGGCGAAGGCGGCGAC
rnacentral:rRNA from 1 species